rnacentral:lncRNA from 1 species
UAGCAGGUGGGAUGAAAGAAGCGAAGAAGAGCAUGUCCUCUGCCUCUGAGAACCUUUAUCAGGUGAUUGUUCUUAUUACUUCCACUGAUAUGCUAUGUUAUUUGGCUUUGCAUCACUGCGGCGAGAUGCCUGUGAACAUCUUAAAGGAGGAAAUGUUUAUUAAUUUUGAUUCAUGGUUUCAAAGGUUUCUGUCCAUGGUCAUUUGGCUCCAUUGUUUCUGGGUUUGUGGUGAUACUAACAUCAUGUUGAAGAGCAUAUGGUGGAGCAAAGCUGCUUACCUCUUGGUGGCCAAAAAUGAGAGAGAGAGGGAGAGAGAGAGAGGGAGAGAGAGAGAGAGAGAGAGAGAGAGAGAGAGAGAGAGAGAGAGAACCAGAGAGAACUAAAAGGGGCCAGGGGAAAAAAUAUACCCUUUAAAGGCACACCCCCAUUACCUACUUCCUCCAACUUCCUCCCUACCAUAUCCCAAUAGUCCAUUAAGUUAUGAAACCAUAAAUGGAUUAAUUUGUUGAUGAGGUCAGAGCCCUCAUAAUCCAAUCACCACUCAAAUGCCUCCCAAAGUCACCUCUGAACACUGCUGCAUUGAGGAUCAAGCCUUCAACAGAUGAGAUUUGGGGAGACACUUAAGAUCCAAAGUAUAACAUUCUGCCCUGAGCCCCUACAGGGGAAGUUGAUCUCAUAAUGAAAAAUGCAUUUAGUUCAUCUCCAAGAGUCAAUAAAAGUCUCAACAGUUCCAGCAUUGCUCAAAAUUCCAAGUCUCCUCUAUGACUCAAGACAACUCCUACUUAUGAGCUCCUAAUAAAAAUCAAACAGGGACUUGGGUUUUGGCUCAGCGGCAGAGCGCUCGCCUAGCACAUGAAAGGCCCUGGAUUCAAUCCUCAGCACCACAUAAAUAUAAAUAAAUAAAAUAAAGGUAUUCUGUCCAACUACAACUAAAAAAGAAAAGAAAAUUUUAAAAAAGAAAAGCAACUUACAUAUUUGCAAUACACAAUGGUGGCAUAGGCACUGGGUAAACAGUCACAUUCCAAAGGGAAAAAUGGGGACAUAUAAUGAAAAGAUGGAACUGAAGUAAGACCAAACCCAAGCCAGGCAAACCUGGCUCCAUGUCUAGCUCCAUGGUAUGUGGUGGCAGGAUGUGGGUGGCCCCAAAGUGGCAGCCUUGCCACUGUGGCUUUAUGCCUGCAGCACAUCGGACCUCAUUCUUGAGCUAUCUCUGUUUGCUACUGUAGCAUCCUUCAGGAGAUGUCUCACAUUUCUGGCAUCUCUAACAUCACGGAUUCUCCCCCCUAGCGCGCAUGGAGUGCCGGUGAGAGUUCGGGGAAUAAAGUCGUUCCUGUUUGAACCUACAAGUGCCUCUUGGAGGCUCGGUUAUUUUGUGCCCAGCCAGACUGCGGCACACCCUCUCAGUAGCUUCUUGCAGGAACUCAGAUUCGAUCACAUGCUUCCUGUGCUUGCAUUCUGCACAUCUGAAAGACCAGCACCAGGGGAUAAUGCUCAGGUCUGCCAACAGUGGAAACAAUAGUGUGGCCCUCUUGGACCAUGCCUCCGUCAGGCUGUGAGUGCCUGGGUGGCUGAACACAGGAAAUCAAAUCCUGGAGAAACAAUUCCAUGGGUCCUGUGUGAGCAGGAGGACCCUGCUCUGUCUUCUCAAAACAAAAUCUUUAAAUUGAGUUCCCACCUUUACACAUUGGAGCCUUUAAACCUUUGAGCCUUUGAGGAGGGUUGGCUUCUUGAUAAUUCCUGAGAUGUCCUCAAGGCAUCAAUCCUAUUCCCUAUCUUUUCUAUUGUGUUAAUGCAAAGUAUUUGGUUUAUUUUAAAGGUAUUAUUCUCAUUAGUCAACAUUCCUUUCUUGGCAGUAAAUUUGUUUUUUUGUUUAUUUUUUGGCCAAAAUGGGAGUUUUUCAAAAUUUUCCACUCUGCCUUUUGCUCCUGAUUCUCACUGUAAAUCUGGCCAAAAGAAAUCAGCAGUCUUCAUGUCACUGGAUGAAUGCUAUGCUGCCAUGAAUUUCCUUCCAACUGAUUAAUUAGUCCAUCACCUUUAAACUUGGGUUCCUACAAAGUCUCAGGACAUGGAAAAAAUGUAGGUAAGUGCUUGAUCAGAAUUCAACACAAAUGACCUCUAAUCCAACUCCCAAUGGAGUACUCAUUUCCAUAUGAAGCCUCAUCAGUAGUCUUAAUUUAUCCACAUUCUCAUUUUCUAACCUCCCACCAGAAUCACCUAUUAAGAUCUGCUUAUUGCAUUCUGUGCUUUUUUUACUAUACUUCUCCAAACUUAAAAGUUUCUCCUACAAACCAUUUUCAAAGGCUUCUUUGUUAGCAUCCACAUAUCAGAGGGAACAUUCAACCUUUGAUUUUCAGGGUAUUGGCUUAUUUCAUUUCGCAUUAUAGUCUUCACUUCCCUACAUUUACCAGAAAAUACCAUAAUUUCUUUCUUCUUUAUGGCUAAGUAAUAUUCCAUCAUGUAUAUAUACCACAUAUUCUUUAUCCAUUAGUGUGUUGAAGCACAUCUAGUUUGGUUCCAUAGUUUAACUAUUAUGAAUUGAGCUUCUAAGGGUGGGGGAGGGAAGAAUAAAAGUUCAUUGGAUUAUACAAAGGGGAAUGAAGGGAAGAGAGGGGGGAUCAGAGUAAGGAUGAAUAGGACAUAACUUUCUUAUGUCCAUAUAUAAACACAUGACCAGUGAAAGUCUACAUCAUCUACUACUGCAAGAAUGGGAUCCUAAUUAGAAUAAAUUACACUCCAUGUAUGUAUAAUAUGUCAAAAUACACUCUAUUGUCAUCUAUAUCUAAAAAUAACACAACUAUAUGAUAAUGUAUAGUCACAGCAACAACUCCACUUCUCAGUAUCAAGUUUGUUUUAAUCUGCUCUUCGUUGCUAUGACGAAAUGUCUGAGGAAAUUAACUUAAAAGAAGAAAUCUGUAUUUUGGUUAAUGGUUUCAGAGGUUUCAGUCCCUGGUCAGUUAUAUAGCAUUGGCCAUAACUUAUCCACAUUUUUAUGUCCACACCUGAAUUCAAUGGAAUCUAUAAGCCUUAGUUAUCAAUCUUGGAGUCCAUAUGCCCAAAUAACCUUUGAAAGUCUAUUCCUGACCAAUGAAAUCAAUUUUAUAAGACAAUUGGAAGUUUCUCCAACAAUCUAGCUAUUUGCCCACCCAAAUAUACACCAUGCCCUUCUUCUGAAACUAAGAACCCAAUCAUACUUUUCCAAGAGAGGUAAUCCCAGAGCCUCACACAGUGAUUACUUCACUAUUUCCAGAUGGGUCCUGUCUUGUUGCCUGAUAACUGCUAACAUAAAAAGCACGCUAGCCACCUUAGAACACAUCCCAUACAACAAGGCACAACUAGCAGAGGGUAAACACAAAAGUUUUAAUUUGGUAAAGAAAACAAAAUUCGCAUUGCCACUGGUCCUUAGCAAUAUAAAAAUUCUCUCUGAUGACAGGCUUUGGCCCUUGCUACAGCUUCUGAUAUGGUUACCUUUUCCUGUGGCUAAUGCUUUAGAUCCCCAAGAAUGAAUGCUCCUGUAUGGUAGUUAAAAUAGUCAGCCAUUUCACCUCUUCAAGAAACCACACUAUUGCUCUCCUGGUCAAACCAGAAUGAGGCUGACAGCAUCUCAUGAAUGGAAAUGUAUAUCCUUCCAUCCCCGCCUGCCAACUGGCUGACUUUAAACUGUAUCUAUGAAUUUUCUUUAGAUCUUUGUUUAAAAGUGAAAAAAAGCAGUCAGAAUACCUCAAUCUUAUUGUCCCUACUAUUUCCUCUAAAGCUACAAUUAUGAUUACAUUAAUUUUUACCAUCAAUAACAAAUCACAUCAUCUUUCAGAACCUAACCAUCUCCAUCCUCCCCACCUUCUACAUGAUGUCUAGACCAAUGCAAAAUAUAUGGUUUCUGUGACACACAACCCUCAAUUUCCAGUCAAAACUUCCUUAACACUCAGUAUUUAUUCAUUUGGAACAGAAACUUCUCUAGUUAGUUUUAAGUUGAAAGGAUGUAGUGUAGGAAAUUAGAUGCUUCAAAACCAUUGGAAGGCCCCUUAAAACAACUUUUAUGCUGAGUCUUAAUAAAUGAGAUGAUUUUUUAAGUUAGGCAGGAAAUGGGUGUUAUUCUGAAGUGAGUACCAUGCAUAGGUCCAGAAUUUGCUGUUUCAUAAAAUACAAAUACUGCUACAACCUAUCUCACUUGCAGAAGCAUCAGAAGUAUAAGACUUCAUUCCCAAUAUAUGAGUGUGUCUACUCAUUGAAAGCCAAGCCUGUUGGGAGCCUGAGUUACACUGGAGUUUGAGGAACGUAGUCUAACUUUUCAGCCUGUCAUCAGCCAAACCUUGUCCAAGAUACUUGACACAGACUGAAGUGAGUCCAUGUGUAACAGUGUUCUAGAACCUAAUACACCUUCAUGGUAAAGGAGCCAAAUGAAUGAUUGGAAAUUAAUGCUAAGAAGAUGUUAAGAUGCCAUUCAAAAGCAUACAUAUAAUGACAUAAACAUAUUUAUAAUACAUAAGGUUAAAAUCAAAUCAAAGGUCAGAAAAGCUGAGAUACAGUUGUACACUUUAGGAAAGAAUUUUGUAGAAGGAACUAUCAUGGAAAACAGCUUCAAAAGUUGCCCACUGAAGACCCUUGUGCCUUUGCUGACUGUGGAGGUGUACAUUUGUAGUUUAAAACUUAGUGAAGCCAGGUGAAGAUGAACAAUGUUCAGAUCCUGCACAAGGAAAGAAGAUAUUUAAACUCUGACUAGCUACUGCAGUAUUCAGUAGAGACCCCAAUAGGGUCAGAUCCUGGUAAAAACACUGAGGUAUGUCUGGAAUGAAAAUUACCCUGAAUAAGAUAUAAAAAUGCUUGAAACGGGAUUUAAAAGACUCAAACAAAUUUUCAAGUAAGUCAGCUGUCAUUAAAGUAAGAUAUCAACCUUCUCAAUAAUGUAACUUCUCAGUGUCUCAGCAUACUUUAAAAAUUACUACACAUGCAAAGAAGCAGGAUAUUAUGAUGCAUAAUCAGGAGAAAAAUUAAGAAAUAGAAACAGAUAAAAAUGUGAGAGGGAAUAUUCUGGCAUACAAGGACAGUAAAACAACUAUAAAAAUAUUCUUACUUUACACAGGUAUUUUAAAAGAAAACAAGAAAUGCUAAGAAGAGAAAUGGAAGAAACAGAAAAAAAGCAACCUGAGAUGUCUAAAGAAGAAAGUCAAGUAAACCAGGAGCAGUGUUGUACAUCUGUAAUCUCAGCUGCUCAGUAGGCUGAGGCAGGAAGAUUGCAAGUUCAAGGCCAGACUGGGCAACUUAGCAAGACCCUGACUAAAAAUUAAAAAAUGAAAAGGGCUGGGAUGUAGCUCAGUAGUAAAGUGCCCCUGGCUUCAACACCCAUUACCAAAAUAAAAUAAAAUAAAAUAAAAAGGUAAAAGACAGGUUUUGUGAAAUGAAAAUCUUACAAAUUCACAGGAUAAGAUAAAGAGAAAAUUAGACAAUUAGACUGCACAGGCAUAGCCACAGAAUUUUUCCAAAUUGAAUCACAGAGAGAAGAAUCAAAUCUACAGAUUCAACUUCAUUUAUAUGAAAUUAUAGGAAAAAUAAAUUGUAUUUAAACUGAAUGAAGCAGAUUGUGGUUACUAGGGAUUGUUAGGAUGAUUAACUGUUAAAGGCAAAGG